rnacentral:rRNA from 1 species
ACAUGAGAUAUGAUAGAUAAUUUCCUGAACUUAAGCAUAUCAGUAAGGAAAAGAAAAGAAAAUAACAAUGAUAGCCCCAGUAGCUGCGAGUGAACAGGCUAAAGCUCAAUUUAGUAAUCCUGCUAAUAGAUAGCUGGAAUUGUAAUCUACAGGCAUGAUCCGAAGGCACGGCCUUGGCAUAAGUUCCUUGGAACAGGACGCCAGAGAUGGUGAAAGCCCAGUCUUAGGCUAAGGCGCGGCCGUAGGAGAGUGUUCUAUGAGUCGGGUUGUUUGGGACUGCAGCCCUAAUUGGGAGAUAAACUUCUUCUAAAGCUAAAUACCAAUGGGAAACCGAUAGCGAACAAGUACUACGAAGGAAAGGUGAAAAGAACUUUGAAAAGAGGGUUAAAAGACUUGAAAUCGUUGAGUAGGAAGCGAUUGUAGGGCAAUCAUUUGCUAGGUGAUGUCGGAGUGUGCUAGCCGGUCGCCAGGAGCUACCAGUACUUCGUCGGGCUGGUACUUCGGCCGAUAACGGUCGCUGCUUCCUUUUCGCUUAGUAAGAGGCAGAAUGAGUUUUCGCAGCAGGAAUAAACAGGUGAGAAGUCCGGGGGUUUCGGCCCACGAGCUCGCAUGCACAAACUGCUGGGGAGACUGAGGAUUCCUUUAUGGAGAUUCUGCUGAAGAUGACUACAAUCGGCCCGUCUUGAAACACGGACCAAGGAGUGUAACACAUAAGCGAGUGAUAGGGUGGAAAAACCCGAUCGCGCAGAGAAAUCGAGUACAAGCAGCGUAACUGUUAUAGGCGGCAGCUGCAGCCAACCCUGAUCCUCCGGAGAAGGGCUUGAGCAAGAGCUUAUUUGUUACGACCCGAAAGAUGGUGAACUUCACUUGAGUAGGCUGAAGCCAGAGGAAACUCUGGUGGAAGGUCGAAGCAAUACUGACGUGCAAAUCGUUUGUCAAACUUGAGUGAAGGGGCGAAAGACUAAUCGAACCAUCUAGUAGCUGGUUCCCUCUGAAGUUUCUCUCAGGAUAGCUGGUACCUAUAGAUGCGCAGUUUUAUCAGGUAAAGCGAAUGAUUAGAGGAUUCGGCGCACAAAGUGUGUUGACCUAUUCUCAAACUUUAAAUUGGUAAGAGCUCGGGGUAUUCUUAAAUGUACUUCGAGGAAGAAUGCAAGGUACUUAGUGGCCCCAUUUUGGUAAGCAGAAAGGGGGAUGAGGAAUCAACCUUUAGUCUAGAUAAGGCGUACAAGUGCCCGCUCAUCAGACACCUUAAAAGACGUUGGUUCAUAUAGACAGUAGGACUGUGGCCCUGGAAGUCGGAACCAGCUAAGGAGUGUGUAACAACUCACCUACCGAAUGAACUAGCUCUGAAAAUUGAUUACGCUGUAGCGGGCCGCCGACACUAGACCAUCGCCGUAAAUUUGAAACGGGGAUGAGUAAGAGGGCGUGAACAUCAGUGUGGAAGGUUUUGGCGUGAGCCUGACUGGAACGGUGUUCAGUGUAGAUCUUGGUUGUAGUAGAAAUUAUUCUAAUGAGAACUUAGAAGACCGAAGUGGGGAAGGGUUCCAUGUUAACAGCAAUUGGUCAUGGGUUAAUCGUUCCUAAACCUAAGCCGAACGGCGACAAGCAUUAGCGUCUUUAGCACGCUAGCUGGUGAAAGGGAAUGAGGUUAACAUUCCUCAAUCUGUUGGCGGAUAAUGUGAGGCAACUCAACUGAUCCUGGAAACGUCAGCAUGGACAGCUGGAAGAGUUAUCUUUUCUUUUUAACUGCUUAUGGCUCUGGAAUUAGAUUAUCUAGAGAUAGAGCUACACGGCAGGAAGAGCAUUUCAAUCUACGAGAUGUCAGUAUCGUCCGUGAUGAUUACUAAAAAUCCAGGGGAGAGAUUUAUUUCGCGGCAGGACGUACCAAUAACCGCCUCAGGUCUCCAAGGUU